rnacentral:rRNA from 1 species
UGGGGAAUAUUGCACAAUGGGCGCAAGCCUGAUGCAGCGACGCCGCGUGCGGGAUGGAGGCCUUCGGGUUGUAAACCGCUUUGUUCAAGGGCAAGGCAGGCUUUCGGGCCUGUUGAGUGGAUUGUUCGAAUAAGCACCGGCUAACACGUGCC